AGUUAUUGACAAAAACGGCGACUGUUUUUUCAGUAGAAAUUCGCAGUAGAUGUUAGGUGUCAAGUUAGACGCCACAUAUCCUGUGCUUCCUUUCAUUAAUCCUAACACAAAUAUACGUUCACACUCAACUUUAGUAAUCGUCGGCUGUGGAACAAACAGGAAUAUACAUUUUUGCACCAUUCUCCGACUAGUUAGCACGUCUGAGAGAUGAAUCAGGUGACACAGUUUGUAUACAGUUACACCAGAAACUUGUGCGAAGCUCAAACAGAAUGAAAACUAAUUUUUUGUCUCAACAAGAUUUCAUUUUAAUUAGGCAUCCAAUAAACUACUGGGUCUCACCGUGCUAGUUUAUUUUUAGGGUUAAGGGGCGACAGAGAGAAAAUUGGAGGUUUUCUCCAGAUCUAGCCAUAAGUAGUUAGCACUAAAGUCUAUCGAUAAAGUCGAAGUAUGAAUAAAAUAUCUAGAGCCUGCGUCUCUUAUUUUGAUACAAACUAAGCACGUGAUAAUAUAAAAUUAAUAAACUCAGUAAUCAACUACUCGCCAAAAAUGCAGACUGAGCAUGUGCGGACAUUACUGCAGAAAUCUCAGCAACUUAUCCCGCGAAAGAAGCUUGGGUUGAAUAAAUACAUGCAGUCUAGUGGAUAAUACACCAGACUUCUAUUAAGAAGACCCAGGAUUGAAUCCCACCCUCUAUAACCCUCUGAAGAAGGAAGCAGAUUAGUAGCUGAAACAACGAACUUAAUCUUCCCAGAUGGCGUUUAUAUUGCUACGACAGCGGAAGUCACGCGACGCUGGGAGCAUGUGAGCUGGAGUUUCUA